rnacentral:rRNA from 1 species
UACAGAGGGUGCGAGCGUUGUCCGGAAUCACUGGGCGUAAAGGGCGCGUAGGUGGUGGCUUAAGCGUGCGGUGAAAGCUCGGGGCUCAACUCCGAGUCGGCCGUGCGAACUGGGCUCACUGGAGCAUAGUAGAGGCAGGUGGAAUUCCUGGUGUAGCGGUGAAAUGCGUAGAUAUCAGGAGGAACACCGGUGGUGUAAACGGCUUUCUGGACCAUAACUGACGCUGAGGCACGAAAGCGUGGGUAGCAAACAGG